rnacentral:rRNA from 1 species
UGAGGAAUAUUGGUCAAUGGGCGGAAGCCUGAACCAGCCAAGUCGCGUGAGGGAAGACGGUCCUAUGGAUUGUAAACCUCUUUUGCCGGGGAGCAAAGCCGGGCUCGUGAGCCCGGAAGGAGAGUACCCGGAGAAAAAGCAUCGGCUAACUCCGUGCCAGCAGCCGCGGUAAUACGGAGGAUGCGAGCGUUAUCCGGAUUUAUUGGGUUUAAAGGGUGCGUAGGCGGGAUCUUAAGUCAGCGGUAAAAAUGCGGGGCUCAACCCCGUCAGUGCCGUUGAAACUGAGGUUCUUGAGUGGGCGAGAAGUAUGCGGAAUGCGUGGUGUAGCGGUGAAAUGCAUAGAUAUCACGCAGAACUCCGAUUGCGAAGGCAGCAUACCGGCGCCCAACUGACGCUGAGGCACGAAAGCGUGGGGAUCGAAACAGGAGUUAGAUACC